AUAAAUCACAUAGGCACUUGUAGAUAAGAAGCUAUCUUUGUCACUUGCUCAAUCAGCAUCAAAAAAUGUUGUGAGUGAAAAUUUUUUGUAAGGCUAAAGAAAGAGACCAUGGUAUACAGUGCCCUAUAGGUAGCGAAGAAUCCAUUUGAGAGCUUGCCAAUGUAAUUCUGAUGGUUUAUGUAUAAACUGAGCUAGUUUAUUAAUAGCAUAACUAAUAUAUGGACGGGUGAAUGACAAGUACUGAAGAGAUCCAAUA
rnacentral:misc_RNA from 1 species